AAGUCGUAACAAGGUUUCUGUAGGUGAACCUGCGAAAGAAUCAUUAAAAACUUUUAUCCGGGAAUUCGUUUCAUCUUCUCGAAUUAUUUGUAUUCAAAUCCCACUCUUUAUAAAUAUAUCAAUUAUAUAAAACAAAAAAUAAAAAAAGAACACUUUCAACAACGGAUCUCUUGGCUCUC
rnacentral:misc_RNA from 1 species